rnacentral:rRNA from 1 species
GCACUUUAAGCAGUGAAGAAGACUCUUCGGUUAAUACCCGGAGACGAUGACAUUAGCUGCAGAAUAAGCACCGGCUAACUCUGUGCCAGCAGCCGCGGUAAUACAGAGGGUGCAAGCGUUAAUCGGAAUUACUGGGCGUAAAGGGAGCGUAGGUGGCUUGAUAAGUCAGAUGUGAAAUCCCCGGGCUCAACCUGGGAACUGCAUCUGAUACUGUUGAGCUAGAGUAUGUGAGAGGAAGGUAGAAUUCCAGGUGUAGCGGUGAAAUGCGUAGAGAUCUGGAGGAAUACCGAUGGCGAAGGCAGCCUUCUGGCAUCAUACUGACACUGAGGCUCGAAAGCGUGGGUAGCAAACAGGAUUAGAUACCCUGGUAGUCCACGCCGUAAACGAUGUCUACUAGUCGUUGG